GACGUAGGGGGCCAGCGUUGUUCGGAAUUACUGGGUGUAAAGGGUUCGUAGGCGGUGUGGCAAGUCGGGAGUGAAAUUUCUGGGCUCAACUCAGAGACUGCUUCCGAAACUGCUGUGCUGGAGUGUGGGAGAGGCGCGUGGAAUUGCAGGUGUAGCGGUGAAAUGCGUAGAUAUCUGCAGGAACACCCGUGGCGAAAGCGGCGCGCUGGACCACUACUGACGCUGGAGGAACGAAAGGCUAGGGGAGCAAACAGG
rnacentral:rRNA from 1 species